UUUACAAUCGAAUAUACUGCACUCUAUGCAAAGUUCAGCUCAACAAAGGCAAUGAGGUUAAUUUGGAAAUAUUGCGGGGCAGGCUAGCAGAAGUUCACACAGAGCAUCUGGAUCGUGGCUGCAAAUUGAAACCCAAGUUUCGCAUUGAGACUAGAUUUAAUAUAACUGCACUGUACGUUUUCUGUGCUGCUUGUAAUACAUUCGAGAUUGUAGUAUAGACUGUAUAAUGAAUACUUCCAUGCUUUAAAGAUGAAAUAUAUCAUCAUCA